CAAACGCCACAGAGACAUUUGGUCUAAAGAAAAAACCUGUGAUCGCUUACCAAAAUUCCUGGUAAUAGGACCUCAGAAAACUGGUACCACUGCUUUGUACUUGUUCCUGGUUAUGCAUCCUUCCAUCCUUAGUAACUCCCCCAGCCCAAAAACCUUUGAGGAGGUAUAUGGAUUUCUUCCCAGUCC